GGUGAAGUGACUGAGAGGUUACGGUGAUGAAUUGUUACUCCACUGUGCUCUGCACAUGUGGGUUCGAAUCCCACCUUAGCUG
rnacentral:tRNA from 1 species